UGAAAACGCUUUUCAUUUUGACCCCAAUGAGCUGAGACUGCAGAGCGAGCAGGCCUUGCUGACUGCACGCAGUCCUCCAGUGUUAGGCCGGCACAGAGAUUACGAACACAUCCGUUACCCUCACGUUUAUGAUUCUUAAGCCGAAGCCAUCAAGACCUCAGCAUUCGUGGGAGGAGCUAAGAUGCUGCUGCCCGAGGGGAUCAGAAGAGGGAAUAAUAAGAUGUAUGAGGAGGUUGAGAUCCCCCCCAAUGAGCCCAUGCCCAUUGGCUUUGAGGAGAAACCUGUGUACAUCUCAGAGCUG